CCUACGGGAGGCUGCAGUCGAGAAUCAUUCACAAUGGGGGAAACCCUGAUGGUGCGACGCCGCGUGGGGGAAUGAAGGUCUUCGGAUUGUAAACCCCUGUAAUGUGGUAGCAAAUUAACAAGAUAGUACCACAAGAGGAAGAGACGGCUAAACAGGUGCCAGCAGCCUCGGUAAUACAGAGGUCUCAAGCGUUGUUAGGAGUCACUGGUCUGAAAGCGUGCGUAGGCUGUUUCGUAAGUCGUGUGUGAAAGGCGCGGGCUCAACCCGCGGACGGCACCUGAUACUGCGAGACUAGAGUAAUGGAGGGGGAACCGGAAUUCUCGGUGUAGCAGUGAAAUGCGUAGAUAUCGAGAGGAACACUCGUGGCGAAGGCGGGUUCCUGGACAUUAACUGACGCUGAGGCACGAAGGCCAGGGGAGCGAAAGGGAUUAGAUACCCUUGUAGUC
rnacentral:rRNA from 1 species